CCCCAGUUUCAGUUCCAAGUUUCAGUAGAUUUCGGGACAUCGUGCGGAUCGAACGUCUGGCGCUGCGUUCACGCGACUCGACUCGUACGCUGCAGGGAACCAGUUACCAGUGACCAGUAAACAGUGACCGGUGAACACAGUGACUAGUGAAACAGACAGUGAACGAGUAACAGCCCGAGAAUUGUUGCAUUUACGGCGGAAUCGCAUGGAUAUUGAAAAAGAAGAAGAUUUGAAGAAGAUGCGAGGACUCGACUCCUGACAGAAUGCAGACCUAGAUUCCCAGUCCAGAUCCGCAGAUUCGCACAUUCGCAGACUCGCAGAUCCGCAGAUACGAGUCCUCGGGCAGGACAAAGGCC